rnacentral:misc_RNA from 1 species
UGAGCUGCAUUGGCGGGAUUUCGCCGUCUUCGUUUCUCUUUCUUCGCGGACGAACACGCGCUGGGCCUGCAUCAAGCAGGAUCCCACGGUCCCUGACGGGAUAUGCGUUAGGGGCUUGUAGCUCAGUUGGUUAGAGCGCGCGCUUGAUAAGCGUGAGGUCGGAAGUUCAAGUCUUCCCAGGCCCACCACUUUCAUCGAGUGAGCAUUCGUCUUCUGGUUACGGGGCCAUAGCUCAGCUGGGAGAGCGCGUGCUUUGCAAGCAUGAGGUCGUCGGUUCGAUCCCGUCUGGCUCCACCACGCUUCGCCUUUCAGGCUUCGCGUGGCGCAGCCAAGCACGGUCGAAGCGUGCCCGGCGUAGCUCACUUGAGCGUAGACGGGCUGGUUGAGAUCAACCCGUAACCAUCACCGUCCGCGAAACAUCACUUCGCAUCCUGCUAGUCUGGAUAGACAGCAAGAUGCGUGUUUUCUGACAUCGUAAAGAGGAGAUCGAUCCGAGUUGGGUCGUGCAGCAGAUUGUUGCGCGAAUCCUUCAUUAUCUCCGGAUCAUUUUCGGCGCUCGCUUUCAGCCGUGAGGUUGAAUGCGAGUUGUAAAAUGAUCCUUUUAGCGAAGCUUGACCGCCUCGCUAUCGGAACGAUCUUACGAAGCAAGCUGGUCUUUCUAGUCAAUGUCCGGCUGCACGUAGCAUUCAUCGAGGGUGCGCGCCGUAAGGCAAUCGUGCAGACAACAUUCUGCCGAGUGUGUGGACAUUGAUAAUGAGAGCAAUCAAGUGCCUUAUGGUGUUCGGUGGAUGCCUUGGCGCUGAGAGGCGAUGAAGGACGUGCUACGCUGCGAUAGCCGUGGGGAGCUGCGAAGAAGCUUU